AAACAUUGUAGCUGGAUUUUAUAUCGUUAGACUUGGUUCCUCCUUGGUUCCUCCAAAGAUAAACAAGUUGUCUGAUAUACGAAUCUUAACCCUCCUGUCGCGAAGAGAUGGAGAUCUGAUGAUAUCCUAAUAUUUGAAGUUUAUUCAUUCUAUUCAGUCAUUUGAGUAGUGCUAUUCACUAAAGAGCACUCGCCGCGCCACUCCGUGCGCAAUGUAUUCAAACGGACCCGAUAUGCAACUCGAUCGACGUAUAACUAUACUGAAGCGAUCAACAAUAACAGAAACAGAAACAACCGUAGUGGAGCAAGGGCACCAGAAUAAGGCAGCUGCCGCCAUCCAAUCAUCGGAUGUGGCAUCUACCCACGAGAAUUUCGCACAAGGAUCCGAAAAUGUACACAUGAAAAUAAAUACUAUAAAUUUGGACAAAAAUGACAGUAAGCAGUAGGACAGUAUCCACGAUGAGGUCCGGAGGCGAUAGUCAGGGUUCCCAGGGUGCCACAGCACAGCAGCAACACACAAUGAUGCCUAAAACUACGGCCCCAUUGAAGGGUAUCCUCGUUAGGAGUGGCAACCAGAACCCAUAUCCACUGAAGAUUUCAAAUGCCGGUCCAACUGACUCACAGAGUUCUGUGCCACUGCAAUCGAAUCCAGAUGCCAAUAUACCAAUUUUGAAAAGAUGUGAAGACUUCGAUGGGAAUGGUUCGUCUGUUCUGACUAAGGACGAUUUUAAAAGGAUGUGGCAGCUCUAAUAAGAAACGAUCACCGAAAAAGACUCCAGAAGCCAGUCCGAGUCCGGGUCUGUCAAAGAAAUCUUCCGAACUGAUAAGGACUCCAAUUUUAACAAUAUGUGGUGGCUCUGAUGAGACUAAAACUGAGCGCAGUCCUUUGCCAAAGACGAAUCGAUUCCUCAUUCAAAUGUAUAUUUUGUGUAGCCGCGCCAACUGACUCUCAUCUUGUUCAAACUGUUUUGUACAACUGUCUUGAAGCUUCGAAACGCUCUGUACUACAAGUCCUAUUAUAUGUAUAUUUAUUUCCUA